UGCGCAUGAAUGUUGGUUGUUUUGUGUUUUGAUCGUUUUGAUUUACAUUUUAUCAUGAACACACAUAUUUAUACGAUUACAUUAAAUAUUAGAUGAAAAAUAUCUUGUGUACUAAUAUGAUUUAUAAACGCUUUAUUCACUUGGAAUUAUCAGAUAUUUGUAUUAUCCAUGAAACAUUUUACGAUUAAUUAGAAUGAACAAUUCUGAAAACGAUAAACUAUCGAAAGACAUUGAAGAAGACGAUGUAAAUGUUAAAUCAGAAUCACCCAUUAAUUUAACUAUUAGUAAAAUGACUAUAAUUAACUUGGAACCUUUAAUCUGGCACAAUUAUGAUAAAUCUCCAGAAAAAUUGAAAGCUAUGAACACAGGAAGAACAAUUAUUGUUAAUGGCAAGUGGCAAGAAAACCACCAUCCUCUCUUGACUGGUGGACCAUUAUCUAAUAAUUAUAUCUUCUCUCAAUUUCAUUUUCAUUGGGGACCUAAUGAAAUGGUUGGAAGCGAACAUUAUGUGGAUAGUGCUAGUUGCAGUCACAAGCAAAUGAAAUAUUAAAUAACAUUAUCAAGUCUCUUCCUACCUUAAAAAGACCAAAUACUUCAACACGAAUAGCUGCAGAACCUAUCAGUAAAAUUCUUCGACCAUUUUCACAAAAUUAUUUUUUCUACAAUGGCUUACUCACGGAGAAAAAUGAUGAAUCUCAAGUUUUGUGGCUUGUUAGCAGGAGACCAAUUGGGAUAUCGAUCGAUCAAAUAGCUGAGUUCCGUAAACUAAAAAGUGUGCGGUUUAAAUCAAUAUUAAAUAAUUGCAAAUCAUUGAAAGAUGGAAAACAUGUAGAAGUUUUUUUUGUAAAUCCUUCAGGGUCUACACAUGCUUCAUUACUCCCGAUUAUUCAAGAUUAAUAAUUUUUAUAUUUGGUUGAUACAAAUAUACAUGAUCUUAUAAGUAAUUAUAAAUAAUAUUAUUUUUUUCGACGUCGACGCCGUUUAGCUCUU
rnacentral:misc_RNA from 1 species